rnacentral:rRNA from 1 species
CCUACGGGGCGCAGCAGUGGGGGAUAUUGCAUAAUGGGGGAAACCCUGAUGCAGCGACGCCGCGUGGGUGAAGAAGUAUUUCGGUAUGUAAAGCCCUAUCAGCAGGGAAGAAAGAAGACGGUACCUGACUAAGAAGCCCCGGCUAACUACGUGCCAGCAGCCGCGGUAAUACGUAGGGGGCGAGCGUUAUCCGGAUUCACUGGGUGUAAAGGGAGCGUAGACGGCCGUGCAAGCCAGGAGUGAAAGCCCGGGGCCCAACCCCGGGACUGCUCUUGGAACUGUGCGGCUGGAGUGCGGGAGGGGCAGGCGGAAUUCCUGGUGUAGCGGUGAAAUGCGUAGAUAUCAGGAGGAACACCGGCGGCGAAGGCGGCCUGCUGGACCGCGACUGACGUUGAGGCUCGAAAGCGUGGGGAGCGAACAGGAUUAGAUACCCUGGUAGUC